AUCGAACGCUGGCGGCAGGCCUAACACAUGCAAGUCGAACGAGUGGCGGACGGGUGAGUAAUGUCUGGGAAACUGCCUGAUGGAGGGGGAUAACUACUGGAAACGGUAGCUAAUACCGCAUACCAUUGGAUGUGCCCAGAUGGGAUUAGCUAGUAGGUGGGGUAACGGCUCACCUAGGCGACGAUCCCUAGAUGGUCUGAGAGGAUGACCAGCCACACUGGAACUGAUACCCAGUCCAGCCUCCUUCGGGAGGCAUCAGUGGGGAAUAUUGCACAAUGGUCGCAAGCCUGAUGCAGCCAUGCCGCGUGUAUGAAGAAGGCCUUCGGGUUGUAAAGUACUUUCAGCGAGGAGGCGUUACCCGCAGAAGAAGCACCGGCUAACUCCGUGCCAUCAGCCGCGGUAAUUC
rnacentral:rRNA from 1 species